GACGAACGCUGGCGGCGUGCUUAACACAUGCAAGUCGAGCGGUAAGGCCCUUUCGGGGGUACGACGAGCGGCGAACGGGUGAGUAACACGUGGGUGACCUGCCCUCAGCUCUGGGAGUAAGCCUGGGAAACGUGGGUCGUAAUACCGGAUAUGACUCCAUGACGCAUGUUGUGGGGUGGAAAGCCUUGUGCGGCUGAGGAUGGGCCCGCGGCCUAUCAGCUUGUUGGUGGGGUGANGGCCUACCCAAGGCGACGACGGGUAGCCGGCCUGAGAGGGCGACCGGCCACACUGGGACUGAGACAC
rnacentral:rRNA from 1 species